UUUGCCGAUGUGAUUAAGAAAGCUGAGACAGAAAAUUUAUCCUGGAUUAUUUAUUUGAGUGGGUCCAAAUGCUAAACUACUAGCUUUGAAAAUAGAGGAAGAGCCCAAGAACCAAGGCAUGCAGGAGGCCUCUAGAAGCUGGUAGAAGAAAGAGGGAAGAUUUUCCCCUACAGCCUACAGAAGAAAUGCAGCCCCAUUGAUCAACAGAACUGUGAGAAAAUUAAUUUAAAUAUGUGACUGGUGGCUUCAUGAAGGAUGGAUUGGAGGAACACAAAAAUAAAAUAGAACCUGCCUCGUCCAUGUACAUCCUUCAAGCCUCUUGCUUCCCCCUUCAGCGGUGCAGAUUUCUUGUAGACCUGAUGCACUUCACCAUGGAGAGCUACAUAUGAGGCUCUCCCAGUGUUUGGAGAAGCUAAAGGAGGAGCUCUAGCAAGACCUAGAAGUGAGCCUGCAGAUCCACAAUGAUGUAUAUGUGGUGCAGCUAUGCCUGGGCCUAUACCAGGCUCCUGAGUGUACACGUGGCAGCUUCUUCUCUUACCCCUUUCUCACACAUUCCGAUUGGUCAACCCCAACCCAGAAUCCUGGAGGAAAAGGAAGUCUGGAAAAGCAGUCCCAGAGUAGUUAAGUAUACACAUUACAA